GGAGAGAUGUCCGAGAGGUCGAAGGAGCUCCGCUCGAAACGGAGUGUCCCCUUUGGGGACCGGGGGUUCGAAUCCCUCUCUCUCCGCCA
rnacentral:tRNA from 1 species